rnacentral:rRNA from 1 species
AACGAACGCUGGCGGCACGUUUUAAGCAUGCAAGUCGAACGGCAGUGGGGGCAACCCCAUGAGAGUGGCGAACGGGUGAGUAACACGUAGGUGAUCUGCCUUUGGGUUGGGGAUAGCUUGUGGAAACACAGGGUAAUACCGAAUGAGCUGACGAGGCUUUGGCCAUGUUAGUAAAGGUGCUACGGCACCGCCUAGAGAGGAGCCUGCGGCUGAUUAGCUAGUUGGUGGGGAAAAGGACUACCAAGGCGACGAUCAGUAGCCGGCCUGAGAGGGGGGACGGCCACACUGGAACUGAGACACGGUCCAGACUCCUACGGGAGGCAGCAGCUAAGAAUCUUCCGCAAUGGGCGAAAGCCUGACGGAGCGAUGCCGCGUGAUCGAUGAAGGUCGAGAGAUUGUAAAAAUCUUUUCCAACUGAGGAAUAAGUGGACCAGGGAAUGGGUUCAUGAUGACGUUAAGUUGGGAAUAAGCCCCGGCUAAUUACGUGCCAGCCGCCGCCGUAA